GAGGGAGAAGCUACUUUCGGGUAGUGGAGACCGGCAGACGGGUGAGUAACACGUGGGAACAUACCUAGUAGUGGGGGAUAACAGUUGGAAACGACUGCUAAUACCGCAUACGCCCUUCGGGGGAAAGAUUUAUCGCUAUUAGAUUGGCCCGCGUUAGAUUAGCUAGUUGGUAAGGUAACGGCUUACCAAGGCGACGAUCUAUAGCUGGUUUGAGAGGAUGAUCAGCCACACUGGGACUGAGACACGGCCCAGACUCCUACGGGAGGCAGCAGUGGGGAAUAUUGCGCAAUGGAGGAAACUCUGACGCAGCCAUGCCGCGUGAGUGAAGAAGGCCUUAGGGUUGUAAAGCUCUUUCAGACGUGAUGAUGAUGACAGUAACGUCAAAAGAAGUUCCGGCUAACUUCGUGCCAGCAGCCGCGGUAAUACUGAAGGUGCAAGCGUUAAUCGGAAUCACUGGGCGUAAAGCGCUCGUAGGUGGCUUUGUAAGUCAGAUGUGAAAGCCCACGGCUCAACCGUGGAAUUGCAUUUGAUACUGCAUCGCUAGAGUAUAGGAGAGGG
rnacentral:rRNA from 1 species